GGCGAACGGGUGAGUAACGCGUUGGUGACCUGCCCCAAAGAGAGGGAUAACAGUUCGAAAGGACUGCUAAUACCUCAUGUGGUCACGGAGACUAGAGGUUCUGUGUCUAAAGGAGCAAUCCACUUUGGGAGGGGCCUGCGUCCCAUCAGCUAGUUGGUAGGGUAAUGGCCUACCAAGGCGACGACGGGUAGGGGGCCUGAGAGGGUGAUCCCCCACACUGGCACUGAAACACGGGCCAGACACCUACGGGUGGCAGCAGUAGGGAAUAUUGCACAAUGGGCGAAAGCCUGAUGCAGCAACGCCGCGUGCACGAUGAAGGCCUUCGGGUCGUAAAGUGCUUUUCGGGGAGAUGAGGAAGGACAGUAUCCCCGGAAUAAGGAUCGGCUAACUACGUGCCAGCAGCCGCGGUAAAACGUAGGAUCCGAGCGUUAUCCGAAUUUACUGGGCGUAAAGCGCGUGCAGGCGGUUUGGUAAGUUGGAUGUGAAAGCUCCCGGCUCAACUG
rnacentral:rRNA from 1 species